rnacentral:rRNA from 1 species
UACAGAGGUCCCGAGCGUUAGGCGGAAUCACUGGGCUUAAAGCGUGUGUAGGCGGAUCGUUAAGUACCUUGUGAAAUCCCACGGCUUAACCGUGGAACUGCUUGGUAUACUGGCGGUCUUGAGCCACUUAGGGGCUACCGGAACAAAUGGUGGAGCGGUGAAAUGCGUAGAUAUCAUUUGGAACGCCAAUGGUGAAGACAGGUAGCUGGGAGUGUGCUGACGCUGAGACACGAAAGCCAGGGGAGCAAACGGG